CUCAACCAUCCGCAAACCUCGUAUUCUCAGAGCCCUGUCUCAACCAUUCGCGAUUCUCUUAUUCUUAGAACCCCUUUCCCCUAUUCUCUCUCAAAUCCCUUUUCCCCGAUUCUCAUUCAAAGCGCAAAGCUGAAGCUCUAGUUUAGAAAUCACCGGGCAUCAACUAGAAUAGAACCAGAACUAGAAUUCUCUCAAAGCCCCUUUCAAUCGCCGGUUUGAAGCUAGGGUUUGCAAAUCGUAAGGUCAGUGAGGUCCUCUCCUAAAGGUCCUUCAACUAUGACCAGUAGGAUGAUUUGCAUAUCUG
rnacentral:lncRNA from 1 species